rnacentral:rRNA from 1 species
AUUGAACGCUGGCGGCAGGCUUAACACAUGCAAGUCGAGCGGGGGAAGGUAGCUUGCUACCGGACCUAGCGGCGGACGGGUGAGUAAUGCUUAGGAAUCUGCCUAUUAGUGGGGGACAACAUCUCGAAAGGGAUGCUAAUACCGCAUACGUCCUACGGGAGAAAGCAGGGGAUCUUCGGACCUUGCGCUAAUAGAUGAGCCUAAGUCGGAUUAGCUCGUUGGUGUGGUAAAGGCCUACCAAGGCGACGAUCUGUAGCGGGUCUGAGAGGAUGACCCGCCACACCGGGACUGAGACGCGGCCCAGACUCCUAAGGGAGGCAGCAGUGGGGAAUAUUGGACAAUGGGGGGAACCCUGAUCCAGCCAUGCCGCGUGUGUGAAGAAGGCCUUAUGGUUGUAAAGCACUUUAAGCGAGGAGGAGGCUACUCUAGUUAAUACCUAGGGAUAGUGGACGUUACUCGCAGAAUAAGCACCGGCUAACUCUGUGCCAGCCGCCGCGGUAA